UACCCUUUCCGUUUCAGUAUGCUUCAACUGAAAUGUAUAAAAUAUAUCACUAAAUACAAAUAGCAAGUCACUUUUAGAGAAAGUACGUAAGUCCAUUUAAUAGCUACAAGUUAUAACUGAAUAAAAAAAAAUAAAAAAAAAAAAUGUCAUUUGUUAGCUCAGUAAAUAGUAGUAACGAAGAAUCGAUGAACGAUAGUGAUAACGAUUAUAACAAUAUGAGUAUAAAUGAUGAGGUUAAAUCAUUUAAAUCGACGAAAAAAGACAUACGUAAUAAAAAUAUAAAACAAGUCAAAUCAAAUAAGAAUAAAACAAUGGCUAAAAAAGUAAGUAAAACAAAACAUUUACAGUAAAGUAAAUUUUACAUUUUUUUUUUUUUUUUUUUUUUUGAAUAUUUCAUAUUUGGAUAAUAUUGAAAAAUUACUACAAAAUGAAAAGAUUGAAACUGAUAUCAUAAAUACUAUUACGGUAAAACAAGAUGAUGAUCUGAUAAAUGUUAAAUCCCAACUGAUGAAAGAAGUUCCGAGUACUGGACCAUCAGUCACUAUAAGAUCAAAAAUAUUAAGAAUGUUGAUAGCAAGAACAGAUGGAAACAUGCUGAAUGUAGCCUUAAAGUAACGAUAACCGAUCAAACAAAAGAUCAAGAACUUAAGAAUAAUUUAACAGAGGUUGUACAAAAAAUUCACGCGCUUUAUGACUGAUCCAAAGAGGAAGAUAACAAGAUCUAAAUUAUCAAAGACAUAAUAAUGUAUUUAUUAAUGACAGUAGAAAAAAAAUUUGAAUAUAUAAUAG